rnacentral:rRNA from 1 species
CCCAGCUUGCUGGGGGGAUUAGUGGCGAACGGGUGAGUAACACGUGAGUAACCUGCCCCUGACUCUGGGAUAAGCGCUGGAAACGGCGUCUAAUACCGGAUAUGACAGCCGACGGCAUCGUCUGGUUGUGGAAAGAUUUUUCGGUUGGGGAUGGACUCGCGGCCUAUCAGGUUGUUGGUGAGGUAAUGGCUCACCAAGCCUACGACGGGUAGCCGGCCUGAGAGGGUGACCGGCCACACUGGGACUGAGACACGGCCCAGACUCCUACGGGAGGCAGCAGUGGGGAAUAUUGCACAAUGGGCGCAAGCCUGAUGCAGCAACGCCGCGUGAGGGAUGACGGCCUUCGGGUUGUAAACCUCUUUUAGUAGGGAAGAAGCGUAAGUGACGGUACCUGCAGAAAAAGCACCGGCUAACUACGUGCCAGCAGCCGCGGUAAUACAUAGGGUGCAAGCGUUGUCCGGAAUUAUUGGGCGUAAAGAGCUCGUAGGCGGUUUGUCGCGUCUGCUGUGAAAACCGGAGGCUCAACCUCCGGCCUGCAGUGGGUACGGGCAGACUAGAGUGCGGUAGGGGAGAUUGGAAUUCCUGGUGUAGCGGUGGAAUGCGCAGAUAUCAGGAGGAACACCGAUGGCGAAGGCAGAUCUCUGGGCCGUAACUGACGCUGAGGAGCGAAAGCAUGGGGAGCGAACAGGAUUAGAUACCCUGGUAGUCCAUGCCGUAAACGUUGGGCGCUAGAUGUAGGGGCCAUUCCACGGUUUCUGUGUCGCAGCUAACGCAUUAAGCGCCCCGCCUGGGGAGUACGGCCGCAAGGCUAAAACUCAAAGGAAUUGACGGGGGCCCGCACAAGCGGCGGAGCAUGCGGAUUAAUUCGAUGCAACGCGAAGAACCUUACCAAGGCUUGACAUAUACCGGUAACGAUCAGAGAUGGUCGCCCCGCAAGGUCGGUAUACAGGUGGUGCAUGGUUGUCGUCAGCUCGUGUCGUGAGAUGUUGGGUUAAGUCCCGCAACGAGCGCAACCCUCGUUCUAUGUUGCCAGCACGUUAUGGUGGGAACUCAUAGGAGACUGCCGGGGUCAAC